UUGAAUUUGUUAAAAAAAAUGUUAAAAAAUUUCUGCCCAAAAAUUUCGCCCGGCUCCCUUCUGAUUUGUUUAUAAGGGAUAUUUUUUAACAAGAAUCCGCAGAGAAACCGAAUCAGAACAGCCAGACACACGCAGCAUAAAUCCGGAACCCGGAAGUGUCAUAGGUUUUCGAAACGGACCCUCAGGGAAACUAAUUGGUGACCCCUGAUUUAAAGCAUACGAAAUAAGUCGGAAAUUUACUAAACGCAACAGCAAGUGACAAUAAGUAUUAGCUACUGCUCCGCUCACGGGUUAAAAUUUGACGUUAUCAAAUAAAUAAAAUGUCAAAUGUUAGUUUCGCUUUAAAGUUUUGGUGCAGAAGUAGCGUAAUAAAUUCUUUUAAUAUCAUUAGUGAUUAAUAAAUAAAUAAACAAUUUAUAAAAAAACUCAAUAACAUAUUUUCUUUUUGUCAUUUCAUUCACUUUGGUGGAAACUUAACACAACCUUAUAUUCUUAUUCCUUAACUCUCACUUAACAAAACUUCCUACAAAAUAAAAUGCACACACCAUAAAAUUUUAAGCUCCAAUAUAAAAUUAGUUGUGAAAAGAACUGUUUGUGUAAAAUAAAAAACUUCAAAAUGCAAAAAUUCGACAAAAAUACAGCAAAAAAUUCAACAGACUGACAGCCACAAAAGUAGACAAACCGGAAACUUCACAAUGUACUUAAAAUCUGAAAACAUUUCUAAGCGUCUUUUUUGCACCUAUCUCUUUUCAAUAUACUGAGACUGGAGCGUUCAUAAAAAUAACAUGUGUUUUUACUUAAUAACAGGCGGUAGCUGGUUUGUCUUUAGUUUCAUGCGUGGAAGAGAAUGAUGCUAGAUAAAAAGUAUGUGUUUUAUCUCGCCAGGUAUUAAUGACGCACGGGUAAAGAAUCCUGGACUCAAGUGCAAAUGAUUGUAUAACUGUAUAACAAUAAUAUAAAUUUAAUAUAAAUUCAAUACAAAUAUAAUUCAAAAUAUAACUUUUUAUAAUUUAGCGUGACUAGUAACAACGUUGCCAACGGCAGCAA
rnacentral:lncRNA from 1 species